CAGUCGCCGCGGUAAUACGGAGGGUGCAAGCGUUAAUCGGAAUUACUGGGCGUAAAGCGUGCGUAGGCGGUUCGUUAAGUCUGUUGUGAAAGCCCCGGGCUCAACCUGGGAAUGGCAAUGGAUACUGGCGAGCUAGAGUGUGUCAGAGGAUGGUGGAAUUCCCGGUGUAGCGGUGAAAUGCGUAGAGAUCGGGAGGAACAUCAGUGGCGAAGGCGGCCAUCUGGGACAACACUGACGCUGAGGCACGAAAGCGUGGGGAGCAAACAGGAUUAGAUACCCGUGUAGUCCCUGUCUCUUAUAC
rnacentral:rRNA from 1 species